CGUCAUUCUGACCCCGUGGCCUCAGGAAGUUGAGCGAGGCGGGAUCAAGGAUGUUUUCCCGGGCUCUGCAGUCACGGCUCCUUGCAGGGUUUGUUCUUUCAGUGUAUCCUGGACCGGAAAACUUCCUUUAGUAUGCCUUUACCGCAGAUGUCUCCCAAGGCUCACGUAAAUCUCAGGAUGACACAGGAAGUUAUACAAGAGCAGAAUGACAUGCCAUACCAGAGCACAACUAUGUAAAAAUAAUUUACAAAAUUUAUUUUAUUGCUGGUAUUUAAAUUUAAAGUUAAAAAAGGAAAGCAUCAAUCUUUAACAUGUUAGUUGUGGAUCCCCCUUUAUUGCUAGGGUGAAUCAAAGAGAAUCGUCUGGAAUUGGUGAAGGACUGAAGGCCACUAGUUUCUCUACCAUAAACUUAAAUUUUGA